UACGGAGGGAGCUAGCGUUGUUCGGAAUUACUGGGCGUAAAGCGCACGUAGGCGGCUUUUUAAGUCAGGGGUGAAAUCCCGGGGCUCAACCUCGGAACUGCCCUUGAAACUGGGAAGCUUGAAUCUUGGAGAGGCGAGUGGAAUUCCCAGUGUAGAGGUGAAAUUCGUAGAUAUUCGGAAGAACACCAGUGGCGAAGGCGACUCGCUGGACAAGUAUUGACGCUGAGGUGCGAAAGCGUGGGGAAAAAACAGG
rnacentral:rRNA from 1 species